rnacentral:rRNA from 1 species
AUUGAACGCUGGCGGCAAGCCUAACACAUGCAAGUCGAACGAGUGGCGGACGGGUGAGUAAUGUCUGGGCAACUGCCUGAUGGAGGGGGAUAACUACUGGAAACGGUAGCUAAUACCGCAUACCAUCGGAUGUGCCCAGAGGGGAUUAGCUAGUAGGGGGGGUAAAGGCUCACCUAGGCGACGAUCCCUAGCUGGUCUGAGAGGAAGACCGGCCACACUGGAACUGGGACACGGUCCGGACCCCUACGGGAGGCAGCGGUGGGGAAUAUUGCACAAUGGGCGCAAGCCUGAUGCAGCCAUGCCGCGUGUAGGAAGAAGGCCUUCGGGUUGUAAAGUACUUUCAGCGGGGAGGCGUUACCCGCAGAAGAAGCACCGGCUAACUCCGUGCCAGCAGCCGCGGUAAUAC